AUAUGCCUUUUGGUGGGGGACAACAGUUGGAAACGACUGCUAAUACCGCAUAAUGUCUACGGACCAAAGUGGGGGACCUUCGGGCCUCACGCCAAAAGAUUAGCCCAAGUGGGAUUAGCUAGUUGGUAAGGUAAUGGCUUACCAAGGCAACGAUCCCUAGCUGGUUUGAGAGCAUGAUCAGCCACACUGGGACUGAGACACGGCCCAGACUCCUACGGGAGGCAGCAGUGGGGAAUAUUGCACAAUGGGCGCAAGCCUGAUGCAGCCAUGCCGCGUGUGUGAAGAAGGCCUUCGGGUUGUAAAGCACUUUCAGUAAGGAGGAAAGGGUGGUCUUUAAUAGAGGCUAUCUGUGACGUUACUUACAGAAGAAGCACCGGCUAACUCCGUGCCAGCAGCCGCGGUAAUACGGAGGGUGCGAGCGUUAAUCGGAAUUACUGGGCGUAAAGCGUACGCAGGCGGUUUGUUAAGCGAGAUGUGAAAGCCCCGGGCUCAACCUGGGAACUGCAUUUCGAACUGGCAAACUAGAGUGUGAUAGAGGGUGGUAGAAUUUCAGGUGUAGCGGUGAAAUGCGUAGAGAUCUGAAGGAAUACCGAUGGCGAAGGCAGCCACCUGGGUCAACACUGACGCUCAUGUACGAAAGCGUGGGGAGCAAACAG
rnacentral:rRNA from 1 species